GGGCGUAUAGCUCAGUUGGUUAGAGCGCGUGCUUCACAUGCACGAGGUCAUUGGUUCAACUCCAAUUACGCCCACCA
rnacentral:tRNA from 1 species